GGGUUGUGAGGUUAAGUGACUAAGCGUACACGGUGGAUGCCUAGGCAGUCAGAGGCGAUGAAGGGCGUGCUAAUCUGCGAAAAGCGUCGGUAAGGUGAUAUGAACCGUUACAACCGGCGAUACCCGAAUGGGGAAACCCAGUGUGUUUCGACACACUAUCAUGUCAUGAAUACAUAGUGGCAUGAGGCGAACCGGGGGAACUGAAACAUCUAAGUACCCCGAGGAAAAGAAAUCAACCGAGAUUCCCCCAGUAGCGGCGAGCGAACGGGGAGAAGCCCAGAACCUGAAUCGGCUUGUGUGUUAGUGGAAGCGUCUGGAAAGUCGCGCAGCAAAGGGUGAUAGCCCCGUACACUAAAAUGCACAGGUCGUGAGUUCGAUGAGUAGGGCGGGACACGUGACAUCCUGUCUGAAUAUGGGGGGACCAUCCUCCAAGGCUAAAUACUCCUGACUGACCGAUAGUGAACCAGUACCGUGAGGGAAAGGCGAAAAGAACCCCGGCGAGGGGAGUGAAAUAGAACCUGAAACCGUGUACGUACAAGCAGUGGGAGCACCUUCGUGGUGUGACUGCGUACCUUUUGUAUAAUGGGUCAGCGACUUAUAUUUUGUAGCAAGGUUAACCGUAUAGGGGAGCCGUAGGAAACCGAGUCUUAACUGGGCGAAUAGUUGCAAGGUAUAGACCCGAAACCCGGUGAUCUAGCCAUGGGCAGGUUGAAGGUUGGGUAACACUAACUGGAGGACCGAACCGACUAAUGUUGAAAAAUUAGCGGAUGACUUGUGGCUGGGGGUGAAAGGCCAAUCAAACCGGGAGAUAGCUGGUUCUCCCGAAAGCUAUUUAGGUAGCGCCUCGUGAACUCAUCUUCGGGGGUAGAGCACUGUUUCGGCUAGGGGGCCAUCCCGGCUUACCAAACCGAUGCAAACUCCGAAUACCGAAGAAUGUUAUCACGGGAGACACACGGCGGGUGCUAACGUCCGUCGUGAAGAGGGAAACAACCCAGACCGCCAGCUAAGGUCCCAAAGUCAUGGUUAAGUGGGAAACGAUGUGGGAAGGCACAGACAGCCAGGAUGUUGGCUUAGAAGCAGCCAUCAUUUAAAGAAAGCGUAAUAGCUCACUGGUCGAGUCGGCCUGCGCGGAAGAUGUAACGGGGCUAAACCAUGCACCGAAGCUGCGGCAGCGACGCUUAGGCGUUGUUGGGUAGGGGAGCGUUCUGUAAGCCGUUGAAGGUGGCCUGUGAGGGUUGCUGGAGGUAUCAGAAGUGCGAAUGCUGACAUAAGUAACGAUAAAGCGGGUGAAAAGCCCGCUCGCCGGAAGACCAAGGGUUCCUGUCCAACGUUAAUCGGGGCAGGGUGAGUCGACCCCUAAGGCGAGGCUGAAAAGCGUAGUCGAUGGGAAACAGGUUAAUAUUCCUGUACUUGGUGUUACUGCGAAGGGGGGACGGAGAAGGCUAGGCUGGCCGGGCGACGGUUGUCCCGGUUUAAGCGUGUAGGGGGUGUGACCUGGUAAAUCCGGUUGCAUAUCAACCCUGAGGCGUGAUGACGAUGCACUACGGUGCAGAAGUAGUUGAUGCCCUGCUUCCAGGAAAAUCCUCUAAGCUCCAGGUAACAUUAAAUCGUACCCCAAACCGACACAGGUGGUCAGGUAGAGAAUACCAAGGCGCUUGAGAGAACUCGGGUGAAGGAACUAGGCAAAAUGGUGCCGUAACUUCGGGAGAAGGCACGCUGGCAUGUAGGUGAAGUCCCUUGCGGAUGGAGCUGAAGCCAGUCGAAGAUACCAGCUGGCUGCAACUGUUUAAUAAAAACACAGCACUGUGCAAACACGAAAGUGGACGUAUACGGUGUGACGCCUGCCCGGUGCUGGAAGGUUAAUUGAUGGGGUCAGCCGCAAGGCGAAGCUCUUGAUCGAAGCCCCAGUAAACGGCGGCCGUAACUAUAACGGUCCUAAGGUAGCGAAAUUCCUUGUCGGGUAAGUUCCGACCUGCACGAAUGGCGUAAUGAUGGCCAGGCUGUCUCCACCCGAGACUCAGUGAAAUUGAACUCGCUGUGAAGAUGCAGUGUACCCGCGGCAAGACGGAAAGACCCCGUGAACCUUUACUAUAGCUUGACACUGAACAUUGAGCCUUGAUGUGUAGGAUAGGUGGGAGGCUUUGAAGCGUGGACGCCAGUCUGCGUGGAGCCAUCCUUGAAAUACCACCCUUUAAUGUUUGAUGUUCUAACUCUGCCCCGUGAUCCGGGGUGAGGACAGUGUCUGGUGGGUAGUUUGACUGGGGCGGUCUCCUCCCAAAGAGUAACGGAGGAGCACGAAGGUUAGCUAAUCACGGUCGGACAUCGUGAGGUUAGUGCAAAGGCAUAAGCUAGCUUGACUGCGAGAGUGACGGCUCGAGCAGGUACGAAAGUAGGUCUUAGUGAUCCGGUGGUUCUGAAUGGAAGGGCCAUCGCUCAACGGAUAAAAGGUACUCCGGGGAUAACAGGCUGAUACCGCCCAAGAGUUCAUAUCGACGGCGGUGUUUGGCACCUCGAUGUCGGCUCAUCACAUCCUGGGGCUGAAGUAGGUCCCAAGGGUAUGGCUGUUCGCCAUUUAAAGUGGUACGCGAGCUGGGUUUAGAACGUCGUGAGACAGUUCGGUCCCUAUCUGCCGUGGGCGUUGGAAGAUUGAGAGGGGUUGCUCCUAGUACGAGAGGACCGGAGUGAACGCACCACUGGUGUUCGGGUUGUCAUGCCAAUGGCAUUGCCCGGUAGCUAAGUGCGGAAAAGAUAAGCGCUGAAAGCAUCUAAGCGCGAAACUUGCCUCAAGAUGAAUCUUCCCUGGGACUUUAAGUCCCCUGAAGGAACGUUUAAGACUAAGACGUUGAUAGGCUGGGUGUGUAAGUGCAGCGAUGCAUUGAGCUAACCAGUACUAAUGAUCCGUGAGGCUUAACCUUACAACACCGAAGGUGUUUUAG
rnacentral:rRNA from 1 species